CUGGUAUCCUCAAUAGAUCAUAUGGGAUAAACAUGAACUAAGCAGUAAAAGCACAGCGCUUGGUGGAUGGCUAUCAUACGGGAUGGUUAUGAUGAAUAUUCACAUAAUGUAAACUUGAAAAGAUUGGAUGAUGGUAAUUGUCAAGGAAAAUUUCUAUCGAAAGUUUGCAAAAACUGCCCCUAUGAUAAGCUGAGCUCUAGUGGAAAAAGGUGGUGGAUUUGUGGCUUACGUCACAUCUUCAAGCCCCACACCAUGCAAAGCGAAGCCCGGUAUAUAAGUGGAGAAGGGUAGAGGGGCGGGGACAUUAUCCACGGAGUUUAGAAGGCUCUGAUAGGUACAACAGGCAGGUCAUAUGCAUAUUUUUCUGUUAUAAAAAAAAUAUUGUGGAGAAUUUCAGAAUUAUUGAUGACAAGGGUACAGUCUAUCUUAAACUCUAGAACUGUCCAGGAACAAUUUUCAUCUUCCUUAUCUCCAAGAGCAAUGCAUUGUUGAUCUACUUGAGUGCUUCCUGACUACUAACUUUC
rnacentral:misc_RNA from 1 species